rnacentral:rRNA from 1 species
GUCGGAUGGAAUAGACCCGAAACCACAGUGAUCUAUCCAUGCCCAGGUUGAAGCACAGGUAAAAAUGUGUGGAGGACCGAACCAGUGAGCGUUGAAAAGCUUUUGGAUGAGGUGUGGAUAGGGGUGAAAUGCCAAUCGAACGUGGAGAUAGCUGGUUCUCCCCGAAAUAGCUUUAGGGCUAGCCUCAUGGCAAGAGUGCAGGCGGUAGAGCACUGAACAGGGUAGGGGCCUAUCCGGCUACCGAACCUAAUCAAACUACGAAUGGCUGUACUUAUCCAUGGGAGUCAGACUGCGAGUGAUAAGACCCGUAGUCAAGAGGGAAACAGCCCAGACCAACAGCUAAGGUCCCCAAUGCCGUACUAAGUGGUAAAGGAUGUGGAGUUUCGAAAACAACCAGGAUGUUGGCUUAGAAGCAGCCACCAUUAAAAGAGUGCGUAAUAGCUCACUGGUCGAGAGACUCUGCGCCGAAGAUGACCGGGGCUAAAGUACGGAACCGAAGCUUUGGCAUGUAUGUAAAUACAUGGGUAGGGGAGCGUUCCUGCAUGGGCGAAGCCUGACCGGAAGGACAGGUGGACAGGCAGGAAGUGAGAAUGCCGGUAUGAGUAGCGAAAAGAAAGGUGAGAAUCCUUUCCACCGAAAGCCUAAGGGUUCCUGGGCAACGAUCGUCGACCCAGGGUAAGUCGGGACCUAAUCCGAGGCGAAGACGCAUAGGAGAUGGACAACAGGUUGAAAUUCCUGUACCGACGUCGUCUGUUUGAGCGAUGGAGUGACACAAGAAGGAAAGUUCGCAUGCGAUUGGAAGAGCAUGUCUAAGCAGGUAGGUUGAAUACCAGGCAAAUCCGGUAUUCUAAAAGCCGAGAAGUGAUAGGGAGCCUGUAGAAAUACAGGUGAAGGAACCGGGACUCGAUUGUCAAGAAAAGCUUCUAGUGAGGACGACGCCGCCCGUACCAAAACCGACACAGGUAGGCAAGAAGAGAAUUCUAAGGUGCGCGGGAAAACCCUCGUUAAGGAACUCGGCAAAAUGUAUCCGUAACUUCGGGAAAAGGAUAACCCAGAGUACGUGAAGGAAAGAAACAUCCGGAGCGGGAAUGGGUGGCACAAGAGAGGCCCAAGCGACUGUUUACCACAAACACAGGCGUCUGCUAAAGAGAAAUCUGAUGUAUAGAUGCUGACACCUGCCCGGUGCUGGAAGGUUAAGAGGACGUGUGAAUUGAAGCCCCAGUAAACGGCGGCCGUAACUAUAACGGUCCUAAGGUAGCGAAAUUCCUUGUCGGGUAAGUUCCGACCCGCACGAAAGGUGUAACGAUUUGGGCACUGUCUCAACGAGGGACCCGGUGAAAUUGAAGUACCUGUGAAGAUGCAGGUUACCCGCGACUGGACAGAAAGACCCCAUGGAGCUUUACUGUAACCUGAGAUUGAAUUUUGGUAGAAGAUGUACAGGAUAGUUGGGAGACGUAGAAGCGCGCACGCCAGUGUACGCAGAGUCGAUGGUGGGAUACCAACCUUGUUUUAUUGAAAUUCUAACGAGAGCCGUAACGAGGCUGCGGACAGUCUCAGGCGGGCAGUUUGACUGGGGCGGUCGCCUCCGAAAGAGCAACGGAGGCGCCCAAAGGUUCCCUCAGCGCGGACGGAAACCGCGCGAAGAGUGUAAAGGCAGAAGGGAGCUUGACUGCGAGACGGACAGGUCGAGCAGGGACGAAAGUCGGGCUUAGUGAUCCGGUGGUAGAGAGUGGAAUUGCCAUCGCUCAACGGAUAAAAGCUACCCUGGGGAUAACAGGCUUAUCUCUCCCAAGAGUCCAUAUCGACGGGGAGGUUUGGCACCUCGAUGUCGGCUCAUCACAUCCUGGGGCUGUAGUAGGUCCCAAGGGUUGGGCUGUUCGCCCAUUAAAGUGGUACGCGAGCUGGGUUCAGAACGUCGUGAGACAGUUCGGUCCCUAUCCAUCGCGGGCGCAAGAAACUUGAAAGGGGCUGCUCCUAGUACGAGAGGACCGGAGUGGACGAACCAAUGGUGUAUCGGUUAUGCCGCCAGGCGUACAGCCGAGUAGCUACGUUCGGGACGGAUAAACGCUGAAAGCAUCUAAGCGUGAAACCAGCCUAAAGAUGAGGUUUCU